UUAAGUUAAUAAGGGCGCACGGUGGAUGCCUUGGCACUAGAAGCCGAAGAAGGACGUGACAAACGACGAAAUGCUUUGGGGAGCUGUAAGUAAGCGACGAUCCAGAGAUGUCCGAAUGGGGGAACCCACUAGCUAAUGGCUAGUACUCCUAUCUGUUAAGGAUAGGUAGAGGAAGACGCAGUGAACUGAAACAUCUAAGUAGCUGCAGGAAGAGAAAGCAAAAGCGAUUGCCUGAGUAGCGGCGAGCGAAACGGCAGGAGGGCAAACCGAAGAGUUUACUCUUCGGGGUUGUAGGACUGCAAUGUGGACUUAAAGAUUAUAGAAGAAUGACAUGGGAAGGUCAGCCAAAGAGAGUAAGAGCCUCGUAUUCGAAAUAGUCUUUAUACCUAGCAGUAUCCUGAGUACGGCGGGACACGAGAAAUCCCGUCGGAAUCUGGGAGGACCAUCUCCCAACCCUAAAUACUCUCUAGUGACCGAUAGUGAACCAGUACCGUGAGGGAAAGGUGAAAAGCACCCCGGGAGGGGAGUGAAAUAGAACCUGAAACCGUGUGCCUACAACAAGUUCGAGCCCGUUAAUGGGUGAGAGCGUGCCUUUUGUAGAAUGAACCGGCGAGUUACGAUAUGAUGCGAGGUUAAGUUGAAGAGACGGAGCCGCAGGGAAACCGAGUCUGAAUAGGGCGAGUUAGUAUUAUGUCGUAGACCCGAAACCAUGUGACCUACCCAUGAGCAGGUUGAAGGUGAGGUAAAACUCACUGGAGGACCGAACCAGGGCACGUUGAAAAGUGCUUGGAUGACUUGUGGGUAGCGGAGAAAUUCCAAACGAACUUGGAGAUAGCUGGUUCUCUCCGAAAUAGCUUUAGGGCUAGCGUCGACAUUGAGAUUCUUGGAGGUAGAGCACUGUUUGGGUGAGGGGUCCAUCCCGGAUUACCAAUCUCAGAUAAACUCCGAAUGCCAAUGAAUUAUGGUCGGCAGUCAGACUGCGAGUGCUAAGAUCCGUAGUCGAAAGGGAAACAGCCCAGACCACCAGCUAAGGUCCCAAAAUAAUUGUUAAGUGGAAAAGGAUGUGGGGUUGCACAGACAACUAGGAUGUUAGCUUAGAAGCAGCUAUUCAUUCAAAGAGUGCGUAAUAGCUCACUAGUCGAGUGACCCUGCGCCGAAAAUGUACCGGGGCUAAAACAAUUUACCGAAGCUGUGGAUACCUUUAUAGGUAUGGUAGGAGAGCGUUCUAUGUGUGGAGAAGGUGUACCGUGAGGAGCGCUGGAACGCAUAGAAGUGAGAAUGCCGGUAUGAGUAGCGAAAGACAGGUGAGAAUCCUGUCCACCGUAAGACUAAGGUUUCCAGGGGAAGGCUCGUCCGCCCUGGGUUAGUCGGGACCUAAGGAGAGACCGAAAGGUGUAUCCGAUGGACAACAGGUUGAUAUUCCUGUACUAGAGUAUGUAGUGAAGGAGGGACGCAGUAGGCUAACUAAAGCGUGCGACUGGAAGUGCACGUCUAAGCAGUGAGGUGUGAAUUGAGUUAAAUGCUUAAUUCUAUAACAUUGAGCUGUGAUGGGGAGCGAAGUUUAGUAGCGAAGUUAGUGACGUCACACUGCCAAGAAAAGCUUCUAGCGUUUAAACAUACUCUACCCGUACCGCAAACCGACACAGGUAGUCGAGGCGAGUAGCCUCAGGUGAGCGAGAGAACUCUCGUUAAGGAACUCGGCAAAAUGACCCCGUAACUUCGGGAGAAGGGGUGCUGACUUAUGUCAGCCGCAGUGAAUAGGCCCAAGCAACUGUUUAUCAAAAACACAGCUCUCUGCUAAAUCGUAAGAUGAUGUAUAGGGGGUGACGCCUGCCCGGUGCUGGAAGGUUAAGAGGAGUGCUUAGCGGUAACGCGAAGGUAUGAAUUGAAGCCCCAGUAAACGGCGGCCGUAACUAUAACGGUCCUAAGGUAGCGAAAUUCCUUGUCGGGUAAGUUCCGACCCGCACGAAAGGCGUAAUGAUUUGGGCACUGUCUCAACGAGAGACUCGGUGAAAUUUUAGUACCUGUGAAGAUGCAGGUUACCCGCGACAGGACGGAAAGACCCCAUGGAGCUUUACUGCAGUUUGAUAUUGAGUGUCUGUGCCACAUGUACAGGAUAGGUAGGAGCCAU
rnacentral:rRNA from 1 species